CAAUUUUGUACAUAAAAGUAUUUAAAGUAUACGCUAAAUAAUUAUCACAGGUAUCUAUAUGCUUUAUUUGAACAAAUGAAAUGUGUGUGCGAUAUAUAGAUCUAAUUCCUGUUUCAGAGCAACGCCAACACAUUGCAAUGCCGUCAACAUCCUUCAGUGACAGAUGGACAACAUCCCCAUACUUUCCAAAAGCAAUUGCUGUAUUAGCUGCAGUAAUUACCUUCAUUAUUGUCGGUUUCAUCUUCCACAGAAUGAAGGUGACGAUGGAGCAAAAGGGGAAAGAAGUUCAGGUUGUCAACUCAACUCAAAGGGAGGGUCUAAUCGGCUCUUAUAAUUCCGAAGUGACGAGUUUCCAUGAACCCGUUUUAAUGAUGUAUCCCACGUGCCUGAAGAUUCAUAAUUAAAUACAAGUUAUGAAUACA